AAAUCUGCAGUUUAAAUUCCAGAGUUAUUAAUCUUAAACAGGGUUUUAAUCAAGGUUUGCACUGAAAGAGUAGUUCACUUAAGAAUGAGCUGAAACUAGAUUCUCACUAAAUGUCUAAGAUAGACCCUUUGUGUUGGGAGUAUAAAUAAAUAGCCUAUAUAGUGCAAAUUUUAAUGCCGUAGCAGAGUUUAGCGCCUCAAGGAGUUAAGUAGAGGAAGGAAAGCAAUGUUUAAUUGUUUUUGCUGACUCAAAGCAUCUGAUUGAUGCUGCCAGACCUGCUGAGUUUUUCUAGUACUUUGAGGUUAAUUGAAAAUAUGUAGAAAGUAGGAGGCAACAUAGAAUAAAGCUUAUGGGCCUCUCCAGUGAACUGGCUUUGUCACAGAGAAGCUUUGUAAGAUCCAAAUGGAUUGUACAGCACAGCUAAGAACUCACAAUCCGAAAAGUGAUUAAAAACAUGGUUGAUGCGUCCAUGUGACUUGGCGGUGAGAUGCCGAUCAAUGAUUUGAUGAAGCAGGUCUCUGCAUUCAUUCAGAAGUUUGGACAGAACAUGCCGAUCGAAAGUAAAGUCAACCUGAUGAAAACUCACAAUGGUCAUUGCUAACUGAUGAACUUUCUUCUUGAACUUCUCCACAAGCAUCAGCUCAUCUUGAUUGAAUUGGUUAUUCCUGUACAAGACCCCUAGUUUUAUGAUUACCUUAAUAAGAUCUUUGACAAUUUUUUCUGCUUCUUUUUUGUUCUGUGUGUAUUCCUUGGUUGCUUUGUAUAGCUCAUCCAAAACAUCACUGCUUGUAUCAUCUAUUAAUGCAGUUGCUAUUGACUUUGAUGCCAUCUUGCCAAGUAUUUUCUUUUGGGCCUGAACAGCCAGGCUUUUGGAAUUGAAGACUUCAGUGGCCACUGAAAACAUGAAAAGAUAGUUUAAGCAAAUGAUCCAAAAUUGUGGAAAUAGCAGAACUAGCUCAAAUGUUUUUGUUCUGUUUGAAUUAUUUCCUCAUAAUGUGACUUCUUUUUUUUAAGGACACAUUUCCAUCAAAUGUAACAUUGCACAAUACUUCGGAUCAUAUCGAGAUUCGACCAGUGAAUUCUGGCACAUUAUUUGCUCCAAACCUGAAAAUGAAUAUCUGCGUGUCGUUCAACAUUAUUACUUUGUGUCUUUAAUGCUUGUAAAAUAAUUUUCAAGACCAAAUAAAAAAAAUUCAUGGUUUGUA